rnacentral:rRNA from 1 species
ACGAACGCUGGCGGCGUGCCUAAUACAUGCAAGUCGAACGCUUCUUUCCUCCCGAGUGCUUGCACUCAAUUGGAAAGAGGAGUGGCGGACGGGUGAGUAACACGUGGGUAACCUACCCAUCAGAGGGGGAUAACACUUGGAAACAGGUGCUAAUACCGCAUAACAGUUUAUGCCGCAUGGCAUAAGAGUGAAAGGCGCUUUCGGGUGUCGCUGAUGGAUGGACCCGCGGUGCAUUAGCUAGUUGGUGAGGUAACGGCUCACCAAGGCCACGAUGCAUAGCCGACCUGGGAGGGUGAUCGGCCACACUGGGACUGAGACACGGCCCAGACUCCUACGGGAGGCAGCAGUAGGGAAUCUUCGGCAAUGGACGAAAGUCUGACCGAGCAACGCCGCGUGAGUGAAGAAGGUUUUCGGAUCGUAAAACUCUGUUGUUAGAGAAGAACAAGGACGUUAGUAACUGAACGUCCCCUGACGGUAUCUAACCAGAAAGCCACGGCUAACUACGUG